UUUUUUUUUUUUUUUUUGUGUCGGAUAUAUCUCUUGAGGUAAUUUGCAGCAGCAUCACUAAUGGAAUCACUUUGGAUGAUGAUUCAAGUAUUUGGAUGAAAAUGCUGUGAUUAUUGACGUGAUUUGCUCAAUCAUCUUAGGACUUUUUUCCAGUGCCUCACUACUGGCUUUUUAUUUCUUGCAUGAACUCAAUUUUGGGGCUGAAGAUCCCAGUAGGCAGUAGCAUGCCUCAAGUUUUUUGCAAGGUAUCUCCUAGCAUCAAGGAAUUGUUAAAUCUUUUCUUCAAUAACCUUUUUUUUUUUUUCUUUUCCAUAAUUUUGUUAUAGUAGUUACUUCACCUUCCUUUGUUCAUUUUAAUUCAAUUUUGUGGCUGGCUGGUCGCCAUCAGGGGGAAGGGGAUUGACACAGAUCCAAUUUCCAAACACCAAAAAAAAAAAAAAAAGGGGCGAUCCGGUUUCAAGAUUGAGGAGUGGUUGGCCCAGUCGCGUAAAUUGUAUGAUGGCAGAUGCAAGAAGAAGAGGUGGAGGGAGGGCUUUAAAUUACAGAAAAGUGAAGCAAUUGCUUAUCAAUAGUUAUACAAUGAUUGCAGAAGGAAAGGAAGACCCAAAAAAAAAAAAAAAAAAAAUCAAUUUUAGUAAGUUACGCUUGUCUUCAGGGUUGUUGGAGUUGGAGUUGGGCACAGUUUUAAAUAAUGCUGCUUGCUAAUUAACUAGUAAUCCUGAUGAAGUAUGUAAUGGCCAUAUAUAUGUAUGUAUGUAUAGUAUUUUACCUAUCAAGUAUUAGUUGAUGAAGUCAUGAAAGAUGCCAAUUAUCCAAAAUGGUUGACUAUUGCAUGCAGUACAGCUAGCCAGGCCGGUGAAAAUGAAGUACCACCAACAUUGGCUGUCAAGCAAUAUUUGGUGAACGGUAUAAAAGAUGUUUAUACAACAAGAUUAGAAAGAAAAAAGAAAGUAAUUAACAGUCAAAUUUGAGAAUCGAAUAGCACAGCCCUUUUUUUUUUUUUUUUACUUUUAGAUUAUGAAUUUUGAGGUCAGAUUUGUGUUAUAAAGCGGUGGGUGGAUUCGGUCAAGAACAACAGUCAAGAACCAUUGCAAAAAUUCAUACGCUGUUUUGAUUUUGGUAAGCAAUCAAGCAAGGUUGGUUGCUGAUUUGCAUUCAUUGUUCCAUCCUCUCUUCUUAAUUCUGAGCCUUUCUCUCAUCAAACACAUACACUAACUGGUUGCAAGAAACGGUGUGCAAUUUUGUGAUCAACUUGUACGUCUUCAAAGUCCAAAGCCGUCACCAAACCAAUCAUAUAUAUAUAUUAUAUGCAGAUAAUAACAUUCCCAAGUGGAGCAUGCUCAGACAUGUACAGAGUCAUACUUUCUGGCCAACACCUAAUUAAGAGCUUUCCAAAUAUGGACCCCUAAUAUGAGGGGAACAGACAAGGGACGCCGUGUUUCACUACGGAAGCUUUUAAGUUCCCCGUUACUACAACUAGCUACUUCCACAAUUUGGAACAUGCAAACAAAACCCUCUUGGGAGUUCGAGUACAAAGCAUGAUUAGUUGCGCUCGAUCUACUUUCUUUAUUUCGUAAGGUUGGCAUUCCUCUUUUUUUCGCAGUACCACUGACUUUUCUUGCUUUCAAUGGGAACCACGUACCUGGACAUUCUUCACAUUCUUUCCUCAAUGCUAAGCAAUAUAUGUAAUACCUGCGCCUCGCGCCUUGUGAUAUUUUUGGUGUCAUUCACUAGACAAAGCAUCCUGUGAUGGCGAUCUAACGACAAGUCGCCCAACAAAGAAUAAAUUCCAUUCAACUUCUUACACUAAAGUUUCUUUACAUUUCUGUACUCCUUUUCCAAAUUCCAAUUGUCUUUCGCUAUCAUCUUGCUGAUUCCUUUUUUUUUUUUUUUUUUAAAAAAAUUAAAGGCCUUUUUUUUUCGUGUGUUAGGUACUAGUGAUACUGCCCACAGCUCUCACAAUAAAACAUGAACUAAAACAAAGUGAUCGAAGUUCGAAUUUGAAGUAAAUUAACGGAUGCCACCGGUGCGAUCUUUGUCUUAUUAAUCACCGCCUCAAGGAAGGAUGGACGUACAAUUCUUGGUUAGAUUUUCGCUUUAAUUUUAGUGUCUACUUUGCUUUCAUCUGGGUUUGCCGCCGGGAAUGUUGCAUCGUGGUGGAUGGAAAAUUAUGAGAUAUACGCUCAACAAUUAAUCCAUAUAUGAUCGAUCAUCCAACACAUAAGUGGCGCGCAUUAAAUAUCUGUCGAAGACAAAUUAAACUAACUUGAAAGGUUCAAAAGCUGCGGCUGGUGGGAAGGUAAAGUAACAGUUGUGGGGACGAGAACAGCUUUUGAAAUAGAAUUUGUUGCAGUUUAGGCAGCAAACACGGCUUGAAUUCCUUAAAACAAGACUUAUUCUACUGCUGAUGACGUUGACUUGUCCACUCCAAUGCUAUGAUUUAGUCUUCUUCAUUGACAUUAAUCCCCACAACAAUAACAUCGUCGGUAGUCUCCAACAAAGACUGCAUGUCGUUCAAUCAUACCACCAAAAAUCCCUUGAUCAAACCCUGAAAAUCCAUUCGAACUCGGGCUAGCUACUAGAUAUUGCUUCUUCUACUCUCCCUGAUAUAAAAUGCGCUUAAUAAAUUAAUUAUGCUGUUCUCACCGAAAUUCUUUAGCAAAUUUAGCUUUGCUGCAUGGAAUCUAACGAGAUUACACUGAAUGUGCCCUUACCGAACAGCUAGCAUCAUGAUAGUUUGAUGAUGGUCGGAUUUUUGUGUAGUUGAACCUCGAGUUUUCCCUCCCUCAAUGAGUUUUUCACUUUCUUGUCCUAAAUCUUGACGUGGAAUUAAAUAGGCAAGGGUAUAGGGUUUUUUGUUUUUGUUUUUGUUUUUUUUUUGGCCCCCUCCAACGCCAUCUGAUUAAGAAAGGAAAAAUGACAAAGUGCAGCAGUAGUCUGUAGCCAUGUAAAACAGAUACUAGCUAUAUGUUAUGUGGCCACUAAUAUCAAACCAUUUUGAAAGCCAGUGAAUAGUAGAUAUAACAUAAGUGAAAUGACAAACUGGAGCGACAUGCAUUUCGACAUAUGAGCUUUUCUUAACAAUAAAUGUUCCCCUCAAAGCUGUAAUAGAACUGUUAUCCAUCACCGUUAGAGCAACUGGCCGGUGUUCUUCCUCUUUUCUUUUAGCCUGUUGUUUCUUAAAUGGAGUACAAAUCGAACGCAUACGCUAAUAUGUUUAAACAGCAUUAUGAGUCCAUAUCACAAGAUAUAUAGAUCGUCAGUUAACUUCUGAGUAGCUUCCAAGAAGGCAUGACAAAGGGUUGAGGUAAUAAAAUAAAAACAAUUUUAACUCUUACGAUUAGGGGUGUGCAAAAUCGAAAAAUUCCGAUUUACCGACCGAAUUCGAAUUGAAUUCGGAAUUUUCGAAAUCGGUAAAUCGGAAAUCGGAAUCGAAUUCGGAUUUUCCGAAUUCAUAUAUUUCGAAUUUGGUUCGAAUUCGGUAAUGGAGUUUUUCAAAUCGGAAUUCGAAUUCCGAUUUCGAUUUCAAAUUCUUUUUUAAUAUAUAAAUAUAUUUUUUAUACAUGUAAUAUAAAAUUUAUACUAUAUAAUAUUUUAUAAAAUUUAUAAAAUAUAAUAUAAUAUAAUAUAAAAUUUAUAAAAUUUAUAUAUUAUUAUAUAUUAUUAUAAAUUUUAUAUUAUAUAAUAAUAUAUAAAUUUUUCCGAAUUCGGUGAAAUCGGUGAAAUCGGAAUUUACCGAAUUCCGAAUUGAAUUCGGUACGAAUUCGAAUUCGGAAUUGGUGAAUUCGAAAUCAAAUUCGGUCGAAUUACCAGGUACCAAAAUUUCGAAAAAUUCCGAAUUCAAACUUCCGAAUUACCGAAUUCGAAUUCGAUGCACACCCCUAUUUACGAUUGAGCAUCUUUUCAUUUGAUAUCCCGGAUUUCACACUUCAUGAAAUUGCUACCUGUUACCGAAAUAAGACAAUCAGAAGGAUAAUACUAGCUAGGGAUGUAAUUGAGUCGAGCCCGAGUCAAGUUUUUGACUGAAUUGCUCGUGAGCAGUUUGAUUACAGCACUAGAUAAAACUAUUACUCCCUCCGUCCCACUUUGUUAGUCUUGUUUUCCUUUUUCGUCCGUCCCAAAUUGUAGUCCACUUUUCCAUUAAGAAAUGUAGUAAUCUUUCAAAUUGUCUAAAAUACCCUUAUUAAAUAUAUUGUUAUUAAUACAUUGUUAUUAAAUACUAACCCACUACAUUGAAUACAUUGAGUUUUUCCAAUACAUUGAAUACAUUGACUACAUUGAUUAGCAUAAGGGUAUUUUAGGAAAUUAUUAAUCUAAAUUUAUGUUUCCAACCAAAUUAAUUACACUUUCUUAAUCUGUGUGAAAAAAAAACCAAGACUAACAAAACGGGACGGAGGGAGUACAAGAUUUAUGUACAUGCUGCUACCAGAACUCAAAUUAGACAGAUUGAUGUACAAUAGUAUGUAUCAAGAGAAGGAAUACAAUUUAGCCAAAUUGCUUGUGCUGUUCCGAGCUGCAAAAAGAUUAUGCACUACGUACUAUAUUAUAUUUCCGAAGUACUUUAGUCAUAAAUUUUUGCUUGUGCUUUAGUUUCAAACAAAGUUUAAAGACCAAAUUUGGGGGAUGGGAUAGACUCAACAAAUCCGACGGUAUUGAGGGGAUAUUAAACCAUCAUCAUUUCAGAUUCCCGGGCUUUUGGUCCUGAGAUGGGAUUUAUAAAUUGGGGAUUUAUAAAUUAUAAUCCGGAGAGUAAAUGAUUGGUGUGUAUUAAAUUUAUAUGAAAUGAUGGACAAGUACAACGUUUGGUUUUAGUGCUCCCACAGACAGAAAAACAACGCAAGGAAAAGUGAAAAAGAGAGUCUACCAAUUAAACAAAACAGGACGACAACUCACUCUUUCAUUUAUUUUGUUCCAAAACUUGCACACAAUUGGACAAGAGCAAGCAGCUGCUAGAUCGUAUGGUUAGGACCCCCCCCCCCCCCUCAUCCAUCCAUCCAUCCAUCCAUCAAUGACAAAAUCUUACUAAUAAAUUUCCACUUAAAUCACUCCCAACCCCAACACAACUCCCCCCACUGUGCAAUCCAGCAGAUGGGCUCUAGCAACUACCGGCCUACUUCCUUCGUUCAUUCAUAGUAUUUUAUUCUUUGGCUGCCCAAAUUAACAUAUGAGAAAAGUUUUAUAUAUUGUAUAAAUAAAUUUGUAGAUAGAUGGUCAAUUAGUCAUGGCGUUGGAAUUGGCUGGAACCCAAAAUAAUGGAAACGCCUCUAGGAGCAAGUUCUGUGGUCAUUUAUGCAUGCCCUUUUUCUUGUUCUAUAUUUUUUUUUUCUUCCAAAAAAUGGAGCUGCAUUUGCAUAAUUCUUUUUUUCCCUUUUUAGGUCUCUUAAAAUGGAAUGGCAUCCCAUGGAAGCAGUCUAGAAAUCUGACUAGUCAAGAGAGGAGGGCAUUAAUGAUUAAUCCCAUGACCUACGGGUCAAUGACAAUAGUACAUAUAGGACAGGGAAUUAUGUCCAAUUAAUUGGAUGGAAGGAGUCAAGAAAUUCCAUUCGUCGAUGCAGAAGUGCUUUGAUCCGUUGACCUAUAGUUCAAUAAUAACAAUAAUUUUAUUCAAAAAAAAAUUAUGUCGAAUUAACUGGGAACAUAAUAGAUUUAUUGACGCCAAAUUUGUUUUAGUCGUGGUUUAAAUUUACAUUGAAAACAUUCAUUCAGGGCAUUAUUAUCUUGAUAUGUUGUUGUACAUGGUUUGUUUAUUUAAUACAAUAUGCGAACUAGUUGGAUCCGCAAUUAAUUAAGUGUUUAUUCAAUUAUCGGUCAGCAUUUCAAACGACACACGCUCGGUAGUAACUUUUUAUCACACUUCACUAUUCUUUCGGAAGCGACCGGUGUUAUGUUCCACGGAAAGCAUUCUCUCCGACCAUCCCAAUUCCCUAUUCCAAGGGUAAAAGGUAAAUAUAGUACUCCCUCCGUCCCACCUUGAUAGUUCUGUAUUUCUUUUUCAUCUGUCCCAAAUUAUAGUCCACUUUCCAAUUGACGAAUAUAGUUGUAUUUUAAUUUUUCUAAAAUACCCUUAUUCAAUGUAAGUAGUUGUUACUAUAAACCUAUCCCAUUUAAUGAGAGUUGAUUCUUUUGUACCAUCCAUUCAAGUUCCCAUAAAAUUGUACCAUAUUUAAUAUGAGGGUAUUUUAGGAAAAUAGCAAUCUAAAUUUACAUUUCCAACAAAAUUAACUACUUUUUCUUAAACUGUGUGAAAAAAUAAACAGGACUAUCAAAGUGGGACGGAGGGAGUAGUAAUAUAUGUAUAUAUAUAAUUACAAGUAAAAGUAAAAAGAAUGGUAGCGGUGCCAAGAAAGCACGCAAUUAAUUGAAAUUACACUCUUUUAAAUGCCUAAAAGUAGACGAAAAGUGCCUUUUCCUAGACAAGAUUACAAGCUUUUAAAGGGUUGAUGAUUGAUGAUGCAUCAAUAUUUAGUUUAGUAACUAUCAUUACAUUUAGAUAGUAUGAUUGACAAAUUAUCAUUCGAUCAUCACAACAAUCGAGUAGUAGCUAUUAUUAGUUACU
rnacentral:lncRNA from 1 species